rnacentral:tmRNA from 1 species
GGGGUUGACUGGAUUUGACGGCGAGAUGAAAUGGUACGUAAGCACGCGGAGCGGAGACUGUAGGCUCCAUAAUCACUUCGGUCGAAAAAUUAAUUGGCAACAACGAGUAUGCUCUCGCUGCCUAAUCGAAGCAUAGUAGAUUACUGGCUUAAUUCCGUCACAAGGUGACAGAACGAGACGUCGCUCCAAGGAUGUGGUUCCGAAUCUGAGGAUCAAGCGGCGCAGGUUAAAUCGGAAAUAGUCGUGUCAGGCUCCGAUGAUGCGAUGAAAUCUUAGGAGAUAAGGUUGCGGUUGGUGGUUCAGGUCUUGCCGCAGCACGAAAACGAAGGCUGAAAUAAGCGUGUAGAAAGCGUAUGGUUUCCUUGUGCGGACGAGGGUUCGACUCCCUCCAGCUCCACA